CAUCGCUCUGCUGUCCUGCCCCGCAGGGCCAUCUGGUCGCUGGAUUCCAGGGAGGGCUGAGGCCGGCUGCAGGGAGGCUCCUGUCCGGGGUCUCUGCACUCAGUCAGAUGCUCUCGGUGCCCCAUAGCCCCCCUUUUUUUGAACAAGACAGUCCUUUACGAUGGCAUUAAGCUAUAACAAGGGUUUUUUUGUACUUGGGGGAAAGCAUAGCUAAUAGAUCUUCAAAUAAGUUUCUGGUUAUAAUGUAAAGCCUGUGUGAUUGCCUUUUUCAGAACAGUCUAUUGUUAGCCAAUUUGACACUUACCUCACUCCCUCAGCUGCCAGCUAUACAGGAAGAGGUAGGAGAUGACAAGACCGCCAUCAAAUGUGAAACCUCGACCCUCGCCUGGCCACGGUCCCUUCGGCUGGGCCGCCUGCGCACGGGGGCGCUGCGCACAGCCACCCAUGAGGACCUCAGGGACGCCCACAACUCCACAGGCUCUCAGGACAGCCCCGGGAAUAACCCCAGCAGCAGCACCAGCAGCCAGGGCUCGCUGCACAAAGCCCCAAAGAAGAAGGGCAUCAAGUCCUCCAUCAGCCGCUUGUUUCGCAAGAAGGAAAAGGGCCGGCCUGAACACCCCAGCAAGGAGGCGUUAGGACCAGGCAGGAUCUUUACCCCUAGCGCCACCUGGAAAGCCCCAGUGAAUGCUGACAACUAGAAAUGCAGAAAAUAAGGGCUGCUCCUAAGUUAAACUGGAAGAGCAGCAAGCACAGGUUGUAAAGAGGAAAACACACGAUGAGCGACAACAGCACCAACAGAAACAAGGGAUGCGUUCACCCACAGAAAGAAAAUACCUGUGCCGUUCGGAAGAGGAGCCCGUCACCCUUGGAGGGACAGCUGGAACCAGAAUGAAAACCGAGGCCAUGGUCAGCAGUGCCCACCACACGGCCUGGGUGGCGUGGUGUCACUCACCAGGCUUCCUGUAUCCCCAGAGCAGCUGGCAGUAACAUCUCUGAGUGCCAGGCCGGGCAGCGUCCCCGAGUGAGCUAAGGCAUCACUGCUCUCCUUCCAGUGCUGCUCCGGGGCCCUCUGUAGGCGGCCACCCUCAUCCCCUGCCCUGCCACUUGCUGGGGCCCGGCUGUCCCCCUGGGAUCCUUUCAGCCCUUGAGCUUGGGUGUUCCCAGCCCUCUGCCACACCGGACUGGGACGCAACUCAGGACUUGGGCUUGAGAUAUCAAGGAGACCGUGAAUCUGGAAGGACACCACCCUGGGGCCUGUGAGAGAGCAGAAGAGCAAAGCCCCGACGGGGAGGAAACAGAGCUGGGGGAACGUGCCCACAGCCUCCACUGCCUCCUGCACAAGUGCCUUUUCUUUGUCUCUCCUUGGCCUGAAACAAACCCCAGCUGCUGCUGCUCCGCAGGUGAUUCCUAAAGAUGCACCUCCUGCCAGAGCUAUUGUCCUGCUGCUCUGGAGCUGCCUGAGUGUGCUCAGGAGUAUCAGACAAGUAGGGCUGCCACACCUCAUACUGGAGGUGGGGGGCCUGAUACUGGGGAAGGGUCGGAG
rnacentral:lncRNA from 1 species